rnacentral:misc_RNA from 1 species
AACAUCGCGCACCUGCGGGAACCUGCGGAAGGAUCAUUACAGAGUUCGUGCCCUCGCGGGUAGAUCUCCCACCCUUGUGUAUUCCUUACAUUUUGUUGCUUUGGCAGGCCGUUGGUUCGCCAACCACCGGCUCUACGGGCUGGUGCGUGCCUGCCAGAGGACCCCCCAAACUCGGUUUGUUAGUGUCGUCUGAGUAACCAUAACAAUCGUUAAAACUUUUAACAAUGGAUCUCAGAUCGG